AUUCGCGGCCUAUCAGCUUGUUGGUGAGGUCACGGCUCACCAAGGCGACGACGGGUAGCCGGCCUGAGAGGGUGACCGGCCACACUGGGACUGAGAUACGGCCCAGACUCCUACGGGAGGCAGCAGUGGGGAAUAUUGCACAAUGGGCGCAAGCCUGAUGCAGCGACGCCGCGUGAGGGAUGACGGCCUUCGGGUUGUAAACCUCUUUCAGUAGGGACGAAGCGCAAGUGACGGUACCUAUAGAAGAAGGACCGGCCAACUACGUGCCAGCAGCCGCGGUAAUACGUAGGGUCCGAGCGUUGUCCGGAAUUACUGGGCGUAAAGAGCUCGUAGGUGGUUUGUCGCGUUGUUCGUGAAAACUCACAGCUUAACUGUGGGCGUGCGGGCGAUACGGGCAGACUUGAGUACUGCAGGGGAGACUGGAAUUCCUGGUGUAGCGGUGGAAUGCGCAGAUAUCAGGAGGAACACCGGUGGCGAAGGCGGGUCUCUGGGCAGUAACUGACGCUGAGGAGCGAAAGCGUGGGGAGCGAACAGGAUUAGAUACCCUGGUAGUCCACGCCGUAAACGGUGGGUACUAGGUGUGGGUUUCCUUCCUUGGGAUCCGUGCCGUAGCUAACGCAUUAAGUACCCCGCCUGGGGAGUACGGAAU
rnacentral:rRNA from 1 species